rnacentral:lncRNA from 10 species
GUUGGAUUUUUUUUUAAAAGCUUUCAUCAUACUUGCUCUGCAUCUCAGAUACAGUGUCAAACUAACACAUAAAUGAAGUUGCUCUCUAAAGCCUGGGCACCCUAACUUAGACGUCCUCCAUCUCCUUGUGCCUGACAUUUUCUAGCUCCCCUUGGAUUAUUAUAAAUGUUUGAAGAACUACAGAGACAAAUCUUUUCAAAGAACAGGAACUGAAUGUUUACAAUGACAGGUAACUAAUUAAAAAUGACUUUUGUAUUUUUCAGUUAUCCGAAACUAAAAAAUACUUUUAUAUCAUACAAAACAGAGAUACUUUUGUAUUACACAAAACUAAAAAAUACUAGUUUGACGUUUGAUGACAUUCAGAAAUUAGGAGCACAAUUUGGAAGAAUCAUUUAAGUAUUCUCUAAGCACCAGAAUUACAUAACACUUGUCUUCAGAAAAUGUAAAGUAUUUCUCAGCAUAAGCCUGUCUAGACCAGAAUAACCAUGGGGCUAACAGAGGUCAGCCCAGAGAUUAGCAGAGGCCCAUGGGUGCAUGUGCUGUUCCCUUUGUUAUAUUGUGCAGGCAGGUGAUUCACCCUGGGCCUUUCAACAAGUUGAAGUGGAGAAGGUGUCAGGCAAGCAUAAUUUGAAAGAACUCAGAUGAAUCUCUUUUGCUUCCAGUUAUGAUUGGUGUCAACCGAACUCUUUUAAAAUCUUAUCAAUUAAUCAUCCAUUCAUUCAAACAUGCACCAAGAAAAUAUCUAUGAAGGGAAAAAUCUAGUAACCUGGCAGGUGUGUUAGUCACAAUUUUCCAUUAGUGGGUCGGCAUGUUGUCAGCUCAGGAUAGUUAAUACACUUCCAGGCAUCAUCUAGAGGAAAGAAAGGCAGGGAAGAGGAAACAAGAAAAAGAAAAGGAAGCAAAAAAUACAAAAAUAGAAUGGAGAUGAACUAGAAUGGAAAUUGGCAGCACUGAGUGUAUGGCUACCUAGUAAAUUUGUGAUUCCAAAUCUGGAAAUUUAUAAAACAGAUUUACCUGAUUUCCUGGAUGAUUUUCAAAUUCAAAUCCUGAUAUGACUUGGUCUCCCUUUUCCCUGUUUCUUCCUCUCUCUUCAGUGCUUUUCAUUAUUAAGUACAUUGUAUAAAGUCCAUAGAGAUUGUAGAAGUUGUGUGCAACAAAUGGUAUAGCAGGCUUCAGGUAGAAAGACAUGAGGUCAUUCUGAGCUUGUGGAAGACUCUGCUUCACAAUGCUUGGGGCCUCGGCUGGGAAGACUUGAAAGCUAGAUGUGAUUCACUGGCUGGAAGCUGGAAUCAUCUGGAGGGUCGUCACUCAUAUGUCUGGUGAAAGAUGCUGGCUGUUGGCUAGGGCCGAGCAGGGCUGUAAGCUGGAACAUCUCAAAGUAGUCAUUCUAUAUGGUCUCUCCACAGGGGCUCAUUGGACUUCCUCACAACAUGGCCUCAGCAUUCCAAGAGAGGAAGGAAGUGUGUGGCAUUUUUAUGAUCCAAUCUCAUAAGUGACAUAACAGCACUUCUGCCAUACUCCAAUGGCUGCAGCAGUCACAAAGCUCCACUCAGUCUCCAGGAGAGGGGACGUAGACUCCACCACUCUAUGGGAGGAAUGUCAAGGUCACAUCAAGAUCUUGUUGCAGCCAACAUUGGAAAAUACAAUCUGAUGCAGGACUUGACCCUCAGAUAAUAGGUGGGUUGGAGCCAGAUUCUGAAGGUUUCCAGGCAAAGUGGGAGGUUUGGAGUCCAUCCUGGAGUCAGUGGGAACCAGAGAUAUUGGAGCAGAGAAGUGAAAUGGAAACAGAGGACUAAAAAAAGGUAACUAAAUAGAAAAGACAAGAAUUACAGUCUCCUGAGAUUGUCCCAUUUAAUAUGGCCAGGAUUUUAUUGUCUGAUGCCUUAUCUUUUGUGUUUUGAAGACGAGCCAGACUGACACUAUCAUAAAAAUUAUCAAAUUUAUUCCCAAUGAUUUUGUGUUACUGCACCAAUUUUGUUCCACAAUAGAACUAAAAGCUAAUGGAGGCCUAUAUGUGGCAAUAUGAGUAUGCAAAGUAAAUCAGCAUGUACCAGUUUAUGGAAGUGAUCUUGUUUUAUUCUAUUAGAAAAAAAAUGAUUUUCAUUGUUUAUCAUAGCACUGACUACACACAAAGCGCUAUUCUCUCGCCCCCAUUUGAGGUCUACGUUGGAGGUUUUCUACACACAGGAAGUGUUGGCUUCAGUGGAAAACUUUUGAACAACACAUGACAUUCUCACACAUCUACAGAAUGUGGAUGUGAUUUCAGGUUUAGCAUGGAAGUUUAGUAGCCUGUAAGGAAAGGCUGUGGAGUAAAUUAUUAGUAAAGUAUUCAUCAAAGAAAAUAGUCUAAAAUCUUUUAAGAGCAACAGUAUGUAUUUCUUUCUUUUUGCCAAGAACCUAUUUAAUUUUUAUGCUACAGAAAUACACACUUUUAUCCAUCACAAGUUUAGGUCAAACAUUGUAUCUAAAGACAUUUAAAGAAAUCCAAAAGAGUAAUACUAAAUUAAAGAUACUAUGUAGAAUUUUUUGUACCCAAAAAAUUUCCUAGUACAUUUAUUUCAUCUAUUUCAACAGCUGUAUAUGCAGCCUUCGAUUUACUAGAAAUCUCUCAGCUUAUUUAUGUCUCCCAAUUGCAUUUUUCAUUGCUUGUUUAAUAAGAAGAUAUACGGAUAACUUCAGCCAUUUUUUCCAAGUAUCCCUCGUUAAAAAUCACAGGAAAUGAUUCUCGAAUAAAAUAAAGGUUACAUGUACCUUAGACUUUACAAAUCAGUACUUAUAUAGAAAGAGACAUAUUGUUUUAUGAAAAGAUAUUGGUUUAAUGAUCUAUAUGGAAGUAAUAUUUCAUUCUUAAAAUAACUCUAGUUUUCAUAAGGGAUCCAGUUUUGUACUCACAAUGCGUUUUACGCUGGGGAGAUCUGCCAUUUCCAUAGAACUGAUAUACAGUGUCUUCACUUUUGAAGCCAAGGUAGGGAACAUUCUCUCUCAGAGUAGGCACACAGGAGAAUCUUGCACCUUAUUUGUUUCACAUGUUUAAAUAUUGUCUUUAUCUUCCAAGUGUUUCAAAUUUCUUAAGGUCUGAGACAGUAUCUCUUCCUUGUUAAGGCGUUAAAUAAGAACUUACUGAACUGUUGGAUUCUGUACAAGAAGUAAUGGCUAAACUUACUGCAAUCU